rnacentral:rRNA from 1 species
AUGGAUUAGUGGCGCACGGGUGAGUAACGCAUAGAUAACAUACCCUUUAGUCUAGGAUAGCCACUGGAAACGGUGAUUAAUACUGGAUACUCCUUACGAGGGAAAGAAUUUCGCUAAAGGAUUGGUCUAUGUCCUAUCAGCUUGUUGGUGAGGUAAUGGCUUACCAAGGCUAUGACGGGUAUCCGGCCUGAGAGGGUGAACGGACACACUGGAACUGAGACACGGUCCAGACUCCUACGGGAGGCAGCAGUAGGGAAUAUUGCUCAAUGGGGGAAACCCUGAAGCAGCAACGCCGCGUGGAGGAUGAAGGUUUUAGGAUUGUAAACUCCUUUUGUAAGAGAAGAUU